rnacentral:rRNA from 1 species
AAUAUUUCACAAUGGGGGAAACCCUGAUGCAGCGACGCCGCGUGAGUGAAGAAGUAUUUCGGUAUGUAAAGCCCUAUCAGCAGGGAAGAAAAUGACGGUACCUGACUAAGAAGCCCCGGCUAACCACGUGCCAGCAGCCGCGGUAAUACGUAGGGGGCACGCGUUAUCCGGAUUUACUGGGUGUAAAGGGAGCGUAUGUGGCGAUUCAAGUCAGAUGUGAAAGACCGGGGCUCAAACCCGGGAUUGCAUUUGAAACUGGUUUGCUAGGGUGCAGGAGAGGUAAGUGGAAUUCCUAGUGUAGCGGUGAAAUGCGUAGAUAUUAGGAGGAACACCAGUGGCGAAGGCGGCUUACUGGACUGUAACUGACACUGAGGCUCGAAAGCGUGGGGAGCAAACA